rnacentral:rRNA from 1 species
GAUCCUGGCUCAGGACGAACGCUGGCGGCGUGCCUAACACAUGCAAGUCGAGCGGAGACAUGUUGCGGAAGUUUUCGGAUGGAAGCGAUAUGUUUUAGCGGCGGACGGGUGAGUAACGCGUGAGCAACCUUUCCUUGACAGGGGGAUAACGUACCGAAAGGUACACUAAUACCGCAUAAGGCCACAGCACCGCAUGGUGCAGGGGUGAAAGGAGUAAUCCGGUCGAGGGUGGGCUCGCGUCCGAUUAG